UUUUCAUUCACUCAAAUACCUAGUGAAAGUGUUAAAAGCCAGUUUUUUUUAUUAUUUGAUUUGAUUUUUUUACAUAAAGUAAAAAUGGACAAUGGUCUUUCUCUUUGUUGUGUUUUUGAAGUGCUGUCAUGCAAGACAUGUCUUCAAAUGUUUUAACCAAACUUUAGCACUGCAGUAUUUUUUAUGCAUGUCCUGCUGUGUCAUAUUUUCUAUUGAUAAAAUUACAAACCUGUCUUUAUAUUUUUCAUAGGUGUUUCCAUUUUCUCUUGUUUUAUUACUAUUCUGGAGUGAGUGAGCCUGCUGGGAAAGACUUAAAAAUACAAAGUUAAUAGUACAUUUUUAGUUGAAAUUCCUUGUGCUGUUGUUGUUAACAGGUACAGUUUAUUUGCUAAGUGUCCUGGGACAGGUGAGGAGUGAGUGAGUGUCCUGGGACAGGUGAGGAGUGAGUGAGUGUCCUGGGACAGGUGAGGAGUGAGUGAGUGAGUGUCCUGGGACAGGUGAGGAGUGAGUGAGUGUCCUGGGACAGGUGAGGAGUGAGUGAGUGAGUGUCCUGGGACAGGUGAGGAGUGAGUGAGUGAGUGUCCUGGGACAGGUGAGGAGUGAGUGAGUGUCCUGGGACAGGUGAGGAGUGAGUGAGUGAGUGUCCUGGGACAGGUGAGGAGUGAGUGGAGCUGUUCAGGGAGCACAUCAAACUCCAGAGAGAGAGAGAAGAGCACAAGUUU